UACAGGGGGUGCAAACGUUGCUCGGAAUCAUUGGGCGUAAAGCGCACGUAGGCGGUUCGUUAUGUCGGAUGUGAAAGCCCUUGGCUUAACCAAGGAAGUGCAUCCGAAACUACAGAGCUUGAGUACUUAAGAGGAUCGCGGAAUUCCCGGUGUAGAGGUGAAAUUCGUAGAUAUCGGGAGGAACACCAGUGGCGAAGGCGGCGAUCUGGGAAGAUACUGACGCUGAGGUGCGAAAGCGUGGGGAGCAAACAGG
rnacentral:rRNA from 1 species